rnacentral:lncRNA from 1 species
ACAGUCCAGUAAUUAGGAUGAACACAGUAAGAUCAAUCAUUUCAAUUGCUGUGACAUAUAACUGGCAGCUAAGACAACUGGAUAUCAAAAAUGCCUUCCUAAAUGGCUUUCUAAACGAAACAGUAUACAUGAGACAACCAACUGGGUUUCAUAAUAAGAGUUAUCCAGAUCAUGUGUGUCUAUUACAUAAGGCUCUAUAUGGCUUAAAACAAGCACCCAGAGCUUGGUACUCAAGACUUCAAAAUUUUCUAGUUGAAAACGAAUUCAAAAAUAGUCUUACAGAUUCUUCAUUGUUCCUCAAAGUGAACAAUGGACAUAGAAUCUACAUACUAGUCUAUGUAGAUGAUAUUAUAAUUACUGGGGAUUCUAGUGAGGAAGUAAAUAGGUGCAUAGAAUUAAUAUGUAAACAAUUUUCAUGUAGAGACCUAGGGCUUCUUAACUAUUUUUUAGGAAUGGAAUGUAUAAGACAAGGGAAAACCAUAAUUCUAAGUCAAGAAAAAUAUGUGUCUGAUAUAUUGAAAAAAUUCAAUAUGAUGGAAUGCACACCAUGUAGGAUACCAAUGGUUCAAAAUCCAAGACUAAAUAAAAAUUCAGGGACUCCUAUAGAAAACAAUACAAUAUACAGAAACAUUGUAGGGUCCUUACAAUAUCUAACUAUGACUAGACCUGAUAUUGUCUUUUGUGUGAAUCAUCUUAGUCAGUUUCUACAAACACCAACUGAUGUACAUCUUAGUUUUGCUAAGAGGAUGCUAAGAUAUAUCAAGGGAUCUUCUAACCUAGGACUGAGAUUUACACCUUCAGUCAAACCAGUAAAUUCUUUGAUAGCCUACUGUGAUUCAGACUGGGCAAAUGAUACUGAUGAUAGGAGAUCAGUUUCUGGAUUCAGCAUCUGGUUUGCUGGAAAUUUGGUAGCCUGGGCAUCAAAGAAACAAGCAGUGGUAUCAAAAUCGAGUUGUGAGGCUGAAUACAGGGCACUAUCUGGGAUAACUUCAGAAGUUAAGUGGUUCUGUAAUUUGUUUAGGGAACUGGAGAUUAGGUUUGAGACAGCUCCACAAAUAUUAUGUGAUAAUAAAUCAGCAAUUUUUCUCACUAAAAAUCCAUCAUCAAACCUGAAAACUAGACAUAUAGAUAUCUCACACCAUUUUAUUAGAGAGCUGGUGAUGAAAGGGGCAAUAAAAGUGGAUUAUAUUGCUGCUAGUCAACAACUAGCAGAUGGUUUCACUAAAGUACUGGGAACAGGGCAAUUUAUGGUUCAUAGGGAUAGACAUAAACUAGUACCAACCAGUCCUGAUCCUAGAAUCAUAAUGAAGGACAAGAAUAGGCUAACAAAAUCGCAAGACAUAAGUAAACCAAAGCUAAUUAAGGAGGCUUAGGAGAAUGACUAUAUAAGGGAGACUAUAAUACUGGAUAUUAGUUUAGAUAUAUAAUAAUAAUAAUAAUAAUGAAAAUACUGAGGUGUUGUAUUUCUGAUUUCUGUUCUUAUAGUAAUACUUGUAUUCAUAUUAGGAAAUGUUAGAUAAAUAUGAUGUUGAAAAUUGCAGGGUGAUAAUCUGAAAUAUAUUCUAAAACUAUUUCUAGUUUUGGUUUGAUACAUAAUUUUGUCUGUUUGUUAAGGAAUGGUCUAUAUUUUUCUGUUUUUGGUUUGUGGGAAUGGCUACUGUGGAUGUAUGUUUGUGUGGUUGCAGGUCAUGCUAAGAUAGGUCAUGCCCAAAUAACUGGAAAUUUAAUCUGGAGCAGAAAAUGUGGAAUCUAGAGCAGCAGGAGCUUUGAGAAUGAGCAGCGAUUUUUUUUGUUUUGUUCUUUCUUUCAGGGUCUUAAUUGGUAUAACAGGAGGGUUUUCCCAGUAAAAAUGAAAGAAAGAGGAGCAAAAAUAAGAAUCCCAGCUGGGUUUUUCGCCCUACCUGUUAGCUCAAUUAAUUCAUAGCUGAGUUAGUUCACAAGACUACUAAGGAGGUGGACAGACAAGCUGAUGAUCAUACUCAUGUUCAAAUUCACAACUCAGGAUUGCAUUCUGGAGUUGUCAAUUUGCGGGGGAAUGUAAAGAGUUAAAAAUACUAUAAGGGGUUUUGUAUAAAUGUACCCAUAAUAUUAAGUAUAAGUAUAGGCUUUGUGUAAUGAUUAGUUAAGUUGAAUGUUAUAAUUCUUGAGUGUCAAUUAAAGAGUUUACUCUUUCUUCUUCUUGUUUUGACCUAACGACUUCAUUCUCCCCCUUUCUUCUAUCUUCUUCUUCUAUCAAUUUCUUGUUGAUGAUUCAGUGAAUGGAAACCUCUCCAGAUUUCUACAUGGUAUCUAGAGCUUUGUGAUUCGAUUGGGGCAUCUGGGCGUUAGGGCACGGCGAGCGCGGAAUCUUCUCAGCGUGAUUUCUUCUCGGCGUGAAUUGGAGCGGUUCCUGUUCUGUUCUUUUCUUUUCUUCCCGGCUACAGCGCGUGGUCUUUCUCUUCUCUUCUCGGCUGGCGUGGUCUUUCUUCUCGGCUGGCGUGGUCUUUCUUCUCGGCUGGCGUGGUCUUUCUCUUCUCUUCUCGGCGGCGUGAAUUUCUGGGUCUUUUCUUCUCGGCUGGCGUGGUCUUUCUUCGGCUACAGCGUGGUUCUUCUCGCCGAUUGAUUGCAAUCUGCGAUUGCAACUCUGGUUUGAAUUUUUUAUUUUUUAUUUAUUUCAUUUUUCUGUUAUCUGCAAUUGCAAGUUAUUGAACCAUUGAUUUCCAAAUUUUUUAAUUAGAUUCUGUUUGUGUUUGGAUUGAUCUGUAAGUCUGAAUUUGUUUGUGUUUGAUUUGCGUUAGAUUACGUGUUACAUUUGAUUUCAAUUUUUCAGAUUUUGUGUUCAUUGAUUUCAAUUUUUUUUUUAGAACCCAAAACGGUUGCUUGUGUCAUUGAUCCCUGGCAUUUUAUCGAUUUCUUCUAUUUCUCAUCUCGUUUUCGCCUCGUUGUUUCGUUGCUUGUUCCCCUAUAGUUUUAUUUGAUUUCGUUGGAAACUCCCUAUCAGUCUGCUAGUUUCUUUAAUCCUACUCGGUCGUUCUUUUCCAAUAGUUCAUUUGAGUGCGAUUAAAAUCUGUUUUGGGUUUACAGAUUACCUGUUAGUUUUGUUUGAGUUUACAAUAUUUUUUUUUUUUUAAUUUUCUCAUUUGAUUUAAUCUGUUUACAGAUUUGUUUUGCAUUUGAUUUCUGCGUUUUUAUCUGUUAGUAUUUUACUGAUAUUUUUUUUGCUGACAUCGAUUUGGUAUUUUCUUCUUCUUUAUUUGCCUGUUAGUAUUUGGUAUUUGGUAUUUUACUGUUAGUAUUCUUCUUCUUCUUAAAUUUUAGUUUUUUUUUUUUUUAUUUUUUUUUUUCUUUCUUUAAAUUUUGUCAUAGAUCUGUCGAUCUGUCAUCGAUCUGACAUUUUCUGUUUUUGGUUUAUGUUUUUUGUUGUUGUUGUUUGGUAAUUGAUUUCAUUGAUUUCAUCAAAUUUGUUGUUGUUUUUAGUUGUUUGUUUUUGCUGGUUAUUAAAUUUAAUUCUGAAUAAUUGCAUGCACAUAACUACAUUUUGUUUGCUUGUGUUGCAUACUAAUUAUAAAUUGUUUUUUUUUUGUUUUGUUGUUUUUGUUGUUUGGUAAUUGAUUUCAUUGAUUUCAUCAAAUUUGUUGUUGUUUUUAGUUGUUUGUUUUUGCUGGUUAUUAAAUUUAAUACUGAAUAAUUGCAUGCUAAAUCACAUAUGAAUUUAUCAGAUUGCAUGCUAAUAAAAAUAAUAAUAAUAAAUAAAUAAAAACAAAUAUCUGAUUGUGUAGUUUCUACCCACUUGAAAGUAGAUCAUAACUACAUUUUCUACUCAAUCGAUCGAUUGUGUAGUUUAUAGUUUGCUUGUAGUUGUAAAUUACAAUUGCCCAAGUGGUUAAUUGUUAUUUUGUUUGUGACGCAAGGAGCUGGUUUUUUUUUCUGGAUCUGCGAAUCAGCUUCUGUAAUCAUUGUUUUCUGUUGAGUGGCGAUUUCCAUCUUGAGCUAUGGCAGGAAUUGGAUCAAGUACAUCUGGUGCUGGAAGUGCAGCUGUGACAGCAAGGAUCGAAGUUCCUCAAAUGAUGUAUAGUAUUGCGUCACUCUGUCCCACACCUCUUUCAGAAGGGAAUUAUCUAGUAUGGAAAAAUCAAUUUGAAGGUGCAUUACAAAUACAUAAUUUGUUAGAUUUUAUUUCUGGAAAACUUGGGACUCCGGCUCUAAGAUUAAGUGAUGGCUCUGAAAAUCCGGCAUAUGCGUCUCACAAGAGGAACGAUGGCAUAGUGCUCAGUUGGAUUAAAGCCACGGUAUGUAAGGAAAUUCAGCCUCUACUUUUACCUUGUGUUACUGCAUAUGAGGCAUGGCAUAUUUUAGAAACAGAUAUUUCGCCUAUUGAUAAAAAUCAAAUUCAAACUCUUCGUGAUGAGUUGAAUUCACUAAGGAAGACAACAGAUAUUUCAAUGAAAGAAUAUAUUUUCAAGAUUAAGAGUUUGAAACACUCUCUAGCAGCAGCAGGAUAUUCAAUGUCUGAUGAAAGAGUGUCAGAGUAUGUUCUCAGAGGUCUUGGACCUGAAUUCCGUAUGUUUAGGACAUCUCUGAAUUUUCAGAAGGAUAUUACUUUUACAGAACUUGCAGAUGCUCUUAUUAAAGAAGAAAUUUUGAUGAAACAACUGGAUCAACCAACAACUGAAGGGGAUUAUCAGGUGCAUUAUUCCAAUUAUAAUAGGAAUAAUUUCAAUAGAAAUGCUAAAUUUUAUCCAGGGAAAGGCAAGAAUGGUGGUUCUUAUUAUAAACCAUCAUACAAAAAUCAAGGAACAAAGGUCAUAACUGUUCCUCCUCAAAUUGCUCGGAAUAAUUUGCCUCCCAUUCUGAAUCUACCAUCUUCACAGGACAACACAUCUACGUGUCAGAUUUGUGAGAAAAAAGGACAUCUGGCUAGAAAUUGCCCAGAUAGAGGUAAUUUUGCUGCCUAUGCCAUGGAGGAUGAUUAUGAUACUCAGAUAACUGGAAAUGAAGAAGAAGCAGCAGCAUAUUCUGUAACAGUCCAAGAUCUGGAUUGGUGUCUUGACUCAGGAGCUACUAAUCACAUGGUAGCUGAUGAAGCCUUGCUCCAUGACUGCCAGACCUAUACAGGUAUUGGGUGUGUUGUGAUUGGAUCUGGAGAUAGAUUAGUAAUUUCUAAAAUAGGAAAGUUAGACUUUGAAGUGCAUUCAAAGGUUUAUACACUUAAUAGAGUUUUAUGUGUGCCUAAGAUUAAGAAAAAUCUAAUUUCUGUGACUAAACUAUGUAGUGAUUUGAACUGUUAUAUACAGAUUUCACAGAAGGAAUUUUCAGUGAAGAGCCUGAAGAUGCAUCAGACGCUUUUUUCUGGAAUUAAUAAAAGAGGGCUAUACUAUUUCAGCCCGGACAUCAACUGUAAUUUGGGUAUCAAGAUCUCUUCAGAUACAUGGCACAAGAGACUAGGACAUCCUUCUCUCAAAAUCAUGAAUAAAAUAGGACAUGUAUUAGGAUUAAACAAUUCAGAUUUAAAAUCUUUAGAAUUUUGUAAUAACUGUCCUAUGGCAAAAAUGUCGAAAUUACCUUUUUCUUGUAAUGAAAUAAAAACUUCUUUUCCAUUGGAAAUAAUACAUAUAGAUCUAUGGGGUCCAGCCCCAAUUGUUUCAAUGAAAAAUUAUAAAUUUUUUGCAACAAUUGUAGAUAAUAAAACAAGGUAUACAUGGAUUAUACUAUUAAGGGCUAAAAGUGAUUUUACUGAUCAGUUUAUUCUAUUUCAGAAAAAUAUAGAAAACCAGUUAGGGCGAAAAAUUAAGAAAAUUUAUUCAGAUGAGGGUGGUGAAUUUCUUAGUACCAAGCUGAAAACUUGGCUAGGACAAAAAGGAAUAACACAUAGAUUCUCAUGUCCCUAUACACCUCAACAAAAUGGGAUCGUUGAGAGGAAACAUAGACACCUGCUUGAGACCAGCAGAUGUUUUUUUACUCAAUCAGGAAUUCCAAAAAAAUAUGUGGCCAGAGGUCAUCUCUGCAGCAUGUUUUCUGAUAAAUAGGUUACCUAGUUCUGUUUUAGGGUUCAUAUCUCCCUUUGAGAUGUUAACCAAAAAUAAACCAGAUUAUAAAAUACUGAAAUUAUUUGGUUGUUCAUGUUAUCCCUUAAUAAGUAAAGGAUUAAGGAAUAAAUUUGAACCUACUGCCUAUAAAUGUGUCUUUAUAGGGUAUUCAAACAAACACAAAGGAUAUAUGUGUUUAAAGUUAGAAGAUAAUAAAGUCAUUAUAUCUCGAAAUGUCAAAUUUAAUGAAAAUGAGUAUCCUUUUUUAACUAAAACAGAUACUAAAACAGUAAAGAAGCCUGAAAAGCAAAUGAUAAUACUUCCAAGACUAGCUACUACAAUAAAUUUUGGCUUUCCUAUAAAUACAGGAAACUCAAACAGUGAGUUAAGGGUAGAACCAGAGUCAAGUCCUGUAAGGAGAGUUACUCACUCACAACAGAACAACUCUAAAAAUGACUCAAUGGAUAUAAUCUCAGAGUCAACUGAGAUAAGUAGCUUAGUACCCCAGACCAUGCGAGUUGAGUCAGAUAUGCAAUCUAACACUAGAAGUGAGACAAGACAACAAAGAGAUAUUUCUGAGAAUCAAACAAACACAGUUUGUAACUCAAUAUCACGAGAUAUAAGUAGUAGAUCUGAAGAACCAAUCAACAUAGGAGUUAGAUAUCCGACUAGAGAUAGAAAAGCACCAAAGUUUUUAGAAAAUUAUGAGUGUAAUUCAUGCUCUGGCGAAGAGAUAGAACCAUCCACCUUCAGUGAGGCAAGUAAAGAACCUAAGUGGAAGGAGGCAAUGCAAGAGGAACUGGAUGCAUUGAAAAUUAACAAAACAUGGACUUUAGUACCAAAAAAUUCGUCAAUGAAUAUAGUAGGUUGUAAGUGGGUCUAUAAAAUUAAAAAGAACUCAGAUGGUUCAAUAGAAAGGUACAAAGCUAGAUUAGUAGCUAAGGGCUACAAUCAGGAGGAAGGAGUGGACUAUACAGAGACUUACAGUCCAGUAAUUAGGAUGAACACAGUAAGAUCAAUCAUUUCAAUUGCUGUGACAUAUAACUGACAGCUAAGACAACUGGAUAUCAAAAAUGCCUUCCUAAAUGGCUUUCUAAACGAAACAGUAUACAUGAGACAACCAACUGGGUUUCAUAAUAAGAGUUAUCCAGAUCAUGUGUGUCUAUUACAUAAGGCUCUAUAUGGCUUAAAACAAGCACCCAGAGCUUGGUACUCAAGACUUCAAAAUUUUCUAGUUGAAAACGAAUUCAAAAAUAGUCUUACAGAUUCCUCAUUGUUCCUCAAAGUGAACAAUGGACAUAGAAUCUACAUACUAGUCUAUGUAGAUGAUAUUAUAAUUACUGGGGAUUCUAGUGAGGAAGUAAAUAGGUGCAUAGAAUUAAUAUGUAAACAAUUUUCAUGUAGAGACAUAGGGCUUCUUAACUAUUUUUUAGGAAUGGAAUGUAUAAGACAAGGGAAAACCAUAAUUCUAAGUCAAGAAAAAUAUGUGUAUGAUAUAUUGAAAAAAUUCAAUAUGAUGGAAUGCACACCAUGUAGGACACCAAUGGUUCAAAAUCCAAGACUAAAUAAAAAUUCAGGGACUCCUAUAGAAAACAAUACAAUAUACAGAAACAUUGUAGGGUCCUUACAAUAUCUAACUAUGACUAGACCUGAUAUUGUCUUCUGUGUGAAUCAUCUUAGUCAGUUUCUACAAACACCAACUGAUGUACAUCUUAGUUUUGCUAAGAGGAUGCUAAGAUAUAUUAAGGGAUCUUCUAACCUAGGACUGAGAUUUACACCUUCAGUCAAACCAGUAAAUUCUUUGAUAGCCUACUGUGAUUCAGACUGGGCAAGUGAUACUGAUGAUAGGAGAUCAGUGUCUGGAUUCAGCAUCUGGUUUGCUGGAAAUUUGGUAGCCUGGGCAUCAAAGAAACAGGCAGUGGUAUCAAAAUCGAGUUGUGAGGCUGAAUACAGGGCACUAUCUGGGAUAACUUCAGAAGUUAAGUGGUUCUGUAAUUUGUUUAGGGAACUGGAGAUUAGGUUUGAGACAGCUCCACAAAUAUUAUGUGAUAAUAAAUCAGCAAUUUUUCUCACUAAAAAUCCAUCAUCAAACCUGAAAACUAGACAUAUAGAUAUCUCACACCAUUUUAUUAGAGAGCUGGUGAUGAAAGGGGCAAUAAAAGUGGAUUAUAUUGCUGCUAGUCAACAACUAGCAGAUGGUUUCACUAAAGUACUGGGAACAGGGCAAUUUAUGGUUCAUAGGGAUAGACAUAAACUAGUACCAACCAGUCCUGAUCCUAGAAUCAUAAUGAAGGACAAGAAUAGGCUAACAAAAUCGCAAGACAUAAGUAAACCAAAGCUAAUUAAGGAGGCUUAGGAGAAUGAUUAUAUAAGGGAGACUAUAAUACUGGGUAUUAGUUUAUAUAUAUAAUAAUAAUAAUAAUAAUAAUAAUGAAAAUACUGAGGUGUUGUAUUUCUGAUUUCUGUUCUUAUAGUAAUACUUGUAUUCAUAUUAGGAAAUGUUAGAUAAAUAUGAUGUUGAAAAUUGCAGGGUGAUAAUCUGAAAUAUAUUCUAAAAUUAUUUCUAGUUUGGUUUGAUACAUAAUUUUGUUUGUUUGUUAAGGAAUGGUCUAUAUUUUUCUGGUUUGGUUUGUGGGAAUGGCUACUGUGGAUGUAUGUUUGUGUGGUUGCAGGUCAUACUAAGAUAGGUCAUGCCCAAAUAGCUGGAAAUUUAAUCUGGAGCAGAAAAUGUGAAAUCUAGAGCAGCAGGAGCUUUGAGAAUGAGCAGCGAGUUUUUUUGUUUGUUCUUUCUUUCAGGGUCUUAAUUGGCAUAACAGGAGGGUUUUCCCAGUAAAAAUGAAAGAAAGAGGAGCAAAAAUAAGAAUCCCAGCUGGGUUUUUCGCCCCCCCUGUUAGUUCAAUUAAUUCAUAGCUGAGUUAGUUCACAAGGCUGCUAAGGAGGUGGACAGACAAGCUGAUGAUCAUACUCAUGUUCAAAUUCACAACUCAGGAUUGCAUUCUGGAGUUGUCAAUUUGCGGGGGAAUGUAAAGAGUUAAAAUACUAUAAAGGGUAUUUUAUAAAUGUACCCAUAAUAUCAAGUAUAAGUAUAGGCUUAAUGUGUAAUGAUUGAAUAAGUUGAAUGUUAUAAUUUUGAGUGUCAAUUAAAGAGUUUUUGCUCUACUCUUUUUCUUCUUGUUUGACCUAACAACUUCCAUUCACCCCCUUUCUUCUAUCUUCUUCUUCUAUCAUUUUCUUGUUAAUGAAUCAUUGAGGAAACCUCUCCAGAUUUCUACAU